GAUGGCUGGGGACUGGGCCGUGGGGGUUGGGAGGGACACCUGCACCAUGGAGCUAGGCACCGGAUGGAAACUGAGGGCAGGCCCCUGGGCCCCACAAAGAGGGCCCUCGACCCAGUUUUGGUCAGAGUCAACGCUUCAGAAGAGAGGCCCGUGGCUAUUUCCACUGAAUCCAAGAGAAACCACCAGCCUUCAAUGCCACUCAGAGCGAGCAAUGGGGUUGAGCUGGUCCUUGUCGUAUUCCAAAGCAUCAGUCACCUCGUCGCUGUGGCAUUUUGUUCUGUAACUUCACCAACAUUGGUGUUUCCAUUGGUAAAAUGCAACAAAUGAGCAUCUUGCAGGGUUGC